rnacentral:rRNA from 1 species
UGAGACCUGAUGCCGAGCCGAUUGUGGUGAAGUGGAUGAUCCUAUGCUGUCGAGAAAAGCCUCUAGCGAGUUUCAUGGCGGCCCGUACCCUAAACCGACUCAGGUGGUCAGGUAGAGAAUACCGAGGCGUUCGGGUGAACUAUGGUUAAGGAACUCGGCAAAAUGCCCCCGUAACUUCGGGAGAAGGGGGGCCACACCUGGUGACGGAGUUUACCUCUUGAGCUGGGGGUGGCCGCAGAGACCAGCGAGAAGCGACUGUUUACUAAAAACACAGGUCCGUGCGAAGCCGUAAGGCGAUGUAUACGGACUGACGCCUGCCCGGUGCUGGAACGUUAAGGGGACCGGUUAGCUGCUCUUCGGGGUGGCGAAGCUGAGAACUUAAGCGCCAGUAAACGGCGGUGGUAACUAUAACCAUCCUAAGGUAGCGAAAUUCCUUGUCGGGUAAGUUCCGACCUGCACGAAUGGCGUAACGACUUCUCGACUGUCUCAACCAUAGGCCCGGUGAAAUUGCACUACGAGUAAAGAUGCUCGUUUCGCGCAGCAGGACGGAAAGACCCCGGGACCUUUACUAUAGUUUGAUAUUGGUGUUCGGUUCGGCUUGUGUAGGAUAGGUGGGAGACUGUGAAGCGGCCACGCCAGUGGUUGUGGAGUCGUCGUUGAAAUACCACUCUGGUCGUGCUGGAUGUCUAACCUGGGUCCGUGAUCCGGAUCAGGGACAGUGUCUGAUGGGUAGUUUAACUGGGGCGGUUGCCUCCUAAAGGGUAACGGAGGCGCCCAAAGGUUCCCUCAGCCUGGUUGGUAAUCAGGUGUUGAGUGUAAGUGCACAAGGGAGCUUGACUGUGAGACCGACGGGUCGAGCAGGGACGAAAGUCGGGACUAGUGAUCCGGCAGUGGCUUGUGGAAGCGCUGUCGCUCAACGGAUAAAAGGUACCCCGGGGAUAACAGGCUGAUCUUCCCCAAGAGUCCAUAUCGACGGGAUGGUUUGGCACCUCGAUGUCGGCUCGUCGCAUCCUGGGGCUGGAGUCGGUCCCAAGGGUUGGGCUGUUCGCCCAUUAAAGCGGUACGCGAGCUGGGUUUAGAACGUCGUGAGACAGUUCGGUCCCUAUCCGCUGUGCGCGUAGGAAUAUUGAGAAGGGCUGUCCCUAGUACGAGAGGACCGGGACGGACGAACCUCUGGUGUGCCAGUUGUUCUGCCAAGGGCAUGGCUGGUUGGCUACGUUCGGAAAGGAUAACCGCUGAAAGCAUCUAAGCGGGAAGCCUGCUUCGAGAUGAGUAUUCCCACCCUCUUGAGGGGUUAAGGCUCCCAGUAGACGACUGGGUUGAUAGGCCAGAUGUGGAAGCCCUGUGAGGGGUGGAGCUGACUGGUACUAAUAGGCCGAGGGCUUGUCCUC